rnacentral:rRNA from 1 species
GACGAACGCCGGCGGCGUGCCUAAUACAUGCAAGUUGAGCGCUGAAGGUUGGUACUUGUACCAACUGGAUGAGCAGCGAACGGGUGAGUAACGCGUGGGGAAUCUGCCUUUGAGCGGGGGACAACAUUUGGAAACGAAUGCUAAUACCGCAUAAAAACUUAAAACACAAGUUUUAAGUUUGAAAGAUGCAAUUGCAUCACUCAAAGAUGAUCCCGCGUUGUAUUAGCUAGUUGGUGAGGUAAAGGCUCACCAAGGCGAUGAUACAUAGCCGACCUGAGAGGGUGAUCGGCCACAUUGGGACUGAGACACGGCCCAAACUCCUACGGGAGGCAGCAGUAGGGAAUCUUCGGCAAUGGACGAAAGUCUGACCGAGCAACGCCGCGUGAGUGAAGAAGGUUUUCGGAUCGUAAAACUCUGUUGGUAGAGAAGAACGUUGGUGAGAGUGGAAAGCUCAUCAAGUGACGGUAACUACCCAGAAAGGGACGGCUAACUACGUG